CCGACGAAGCGGUCGGCGCUUACCUCGUGCGCGCACGGUGGGGUCCACCCGUCGAGCACCCAGGGGGCUCGUUCCGCCAGAAACUCCAAGCGGCC
rnacentral:ribozyme from 1 species